UAGCGGAGGAAAAGAAACCAACCGGGAUUGCCUCAGUAACGGCGAGUGAAGCGGCAAGAGCUCAAAUUUGAAAGCUGGCUCCUUCGGAGUCCGCAUUGUAAUUUGCAGAGGAUGCUUUGGGUGCGGCCCCCGUCUAAGUGCCCUGGAACGGGCCGUCAGAGAGGGUGAGAAUCCCGUCUUGGGCGGGGUGUCCGUGCCCGUGUAAAGCUCCUUCGACGAGUCGAGUUGUUUGGGAAUGCAGCUCUAAAUGGGUGGUAAAUUUCAUCUAAAGCUAAAUACUGGCCGGAGACCGAUAGCGCACAAGUAGAGUGAUCGAAAGAUGAAAAGCACUUUGAAAAGAGAGUUAAACAGCACGUGAAAUUGUUGAAAGGGAAGCGCUUGCGACCAGACUCGCCCGCGGGGUUCAGCCGGCAUUCGUGCCGGUGUACUUCCCCGUGGGCGGGCCAGCGUCGGUUUGGGCGGCCGGUCAAAGGCCCCUGGAAUGUAGUGCCCUCCGGGGCACCUUAUAGCCAGGGGUGCAAUGCGGCCAGCCUGGACCGAGGAACGCGCUUCGGCACGGACGCUGGCAUAAUGGUCGUAAACGACCCGUCU
rnacentral:rRNA from 1 species